UGGAUGUUGGUUUAGUUCUGUGUGGAAGACUAGUGAUUUUGUUGUUUUUAGAUAACAACAUUGACAACAAAUCGCAGUCUGCCAUAUGGCACAGACCAUGCCUCUACA
ensembl:miRNA xtr-mir-7-1 xtr-mir-7-1